UCCCUUGUGGCUCAGUUGGUAAAGAAUCUGCCUCCAAUGCAGGAGACCUGGGUUCGAUCCCUGGGUUGGGAA
rnacentral:tRNA from 1 species